rnacentral:rRNA from 1 species
AUACGUAGGUGGCAAGCGUUGUCCGGAAUCAUUGGGCGUAAAGCGCGCGCAGGCGGUCCUUUAAGUCUGAUGUGAAAGCCCACGGCUCAACCGUGGAGGGUCAUUGGAAACUGGAGGACUUGAGUGCAGAAGAGGAGAGGGGAAUUCCAAGUGUAGCGGUGAAAUGCGUAGAGAUUUGGAGGAACACCAGUGGCGAAGGCGACUUUCUGGUCUGUAACUGACGCUGAGGCGCGAAAGCGUGGGGAGCAAACAGGAUUAGAUACCCUGGUAGUCCACGCCGUAAACGAUGAGUGCUAAGUGUUAGGGGGUUUCCGCCCCUUAGUGCUGCAGCUAACGCAUUAAGCACUCCGCCUGGGGAGUACGGUCGCAAGACUGAAACUCAAAGGAAUUGACGGGG